UACGGGGGGGGCAAGCGUUGUUCGGAAUUACUGGGCGUAAAGGGCUCGUAGGUGGCCAACUAAGUCAGACGUGAAAUCCCUCAGCUUAACUGGGGAACUGCGUCUGGUACUGGAUGGCUUGAGUUUGGGAGAGGGAUGCGGAAUUCCAGGUGUAGCGGUGAAAUGCGUAGAUAUCUGGAGGAACACCGGUGGCGAAGGCGGCAUCCUGGACCAACACUGACACUGAGGAGCGAAAGCCAGGGGAGCAAACGGG
rnacentral:rRNA from 1 species